UACAGAGGAUGCAAGCGUUAUCCGGAAUUAUUGGGCGUAAAGAGCUCGUAGGCGGCCUGUUGCGUCCGCUGUGAAAUCCCGGGGCUCAACCCCGGGCGGGCAGUGGAUACGGGCUGGCUGGAGGCAGGCAGGGGAGAGCGGAAUUCCUGGUGUAGCGGUGAAAUGCGCAGAUAUCAGGAGGAACACCGGUGGCGAAGGCGGUGCUCUGGGUCUGUACUGACGCUGAGGAGCGAAAGUGUGGGGAGCGAACAGG
rnacentral:rRNA from 1 species